CAGAUAUCAAUGAAUGUAUUUCCAAUCCUUGUCAGCAUGGUGGUACCUGUAGAGAUGUAGUAAAUGGAUAUACAUGUAGCUGUGCUGCUGGAUAUACAGGCAAUAACUGUCAAAUAGAUAUAAAUGAAUGUAGUUCCAGGCCUUGUUCCAAUGGUGGUACCUGUAUAGAUGGACUAAAUAGAUAUACAUGUAGCUGUAUUGCUGGAUAUAUAGGCAAUAACUGCCAAACAAAUAUCAAUGAAUGUAUUUCCAAUCCUUGUCAGCAUGGUGGUACCUGUAGAGAUGUAGUAAAUGGAUAUACAUGUAGCUGUGCUGCUGGAUAUACAGGCAAUAACUGUCAAAUAGGUAU